GACGAACGCUGGCGGCGUGCUUAACACAUGCAAGUCGAACGAUGACGACCGAGCUUGCUCGGUCUGAUUAGUGGCGAACGGGUGAGUAACACGUGAGCAACCCGCCCUUCACUCUGGGAUAACCUCGGGAAAUCGGGGCUAAUACCGGAUAUGAGCUCCUGUCGCAUGGCGGGUGUUGGAAAGUUUUUCGGUGAAGGAUGGGCUCGCGGCCUAUCAGUUUGUUGGUGAGGUAGUGGCUCACCAAGGCGAUGACGGGUAGCCGGCCUGAGAGGGCGACCGGCCACACUGGGACUGAGACACGGCCCAGACUCCUACGGGAGGCAGCAGUGGGGAAUAUUGCACAAUGGGCGAAAGCCUGAUGCAGCGACGCCGCGUGAGGGAUGACGGCCUUCGGGUGGUAAACCUCUUUCAGCAGGGAAGAAGCGAAAGUGACGGGACCUGCAGAAGAAGCGCCGGCUAACUACGU
rnacentral:rRNA from 1 species